rnacentral:rRNA from 1 species
GAUGAACGCUGGCGGCGUGCCUAAUACAUGCAAGUCGAGCGAACAGACGAGGAGCUUGCUCCUCUGACGUUAGCGGCGGACGGGUGAGUAACACGUGGAUAACCUACCUAUAAGACUGGGAUAACUUCGGGAAACCGGAGCUAAUACCGGAUAAUAUAUUGAACCGCAUGGUUCAAUAGUGAAAGACGGUUUUGCUGUCCCUUAUAGAUGGAUCCGCGCCGCAUUAGCUAGUUGGUAAGGUAACGGCUUACCAAGGCAACGAUGCGUAGCCGACCUGAGAGGGUGAUCGGCCACACUGGAACUGAGACACGGUCCAGACUCCUACGGGAGGCAGCAGUAGGGAAUCUUCCGCAAUGGGCGAAAGCCUGACGGAGCAACGCCGCGUGAGUGAUGAAGGUCUUCGGAUCGUAAAACUCUGUUAUUAGGGAAGAACAAAUGUGUAAGUAACUAUGCACGUCUUGACGGAACCUAAUCAGAAAGCCACGGCUAACUACGUG